rnacentral:rRNA from 1 species
CCUACGGGUGGCUGCAGUGGGGAAUAUUGCACAAUGGGCGCAAGCCUGAUGCAGCCAUGCCGCGUGUGUGAAGAAGGCCUUCGGGUUGUAAAGCACUUUCAGCGGGGAGGAAGGCGGUGAGGUUAAUAACCUCAUCGAUUGACGUUACCCGCAGAAGAAGCACCGGCUAACUCCGUGCCAGCAGCCGCGGUAAUACGGAGGGUGCAGGCGUUAAUCGGAAUUACUGGGCGUAAAGCGCACGCAGGCGGUCUGUCAAGUCGGAUGUGAAAUCCCCGGGCUCAACCUGGGAACUGCAUUCGAAACUGGCAGGCUAGAGUCUUGUAGAGGGGGGUAGAAUUCCAGGUGUAGCGGUGAAAUGCGUAGAGAUCUGGAGGAAUACCGGUGGCGAAGGCGGCCCCCUGGACAAAGACUGACGCUCAGGUGCGAAAGCGUGGGGAGCAAACAGGAUUAGAUACCCUAGUAGUC